CAUUUCUCCUUCUCCUUCCUUCACUUUCCAAAACCAUUCGAUGAAAACCAGAGAAGAGAAGAAAUUGUUGUUAGACUCUCUAAUAUGGCUUUCUAUAAUUUGGAGCAGAUUUAGAACUUACACUUGUGUGAAUUAAUGUUAUGAUGUUCUAUCCUGAGGAUCUGGUUUUUUCUUUUAUUUUUUCGAUUUAUCUUCUGCUUUUAGUUCGAGUAAUCAUUACCGUUUCUAUAUCUUUGUUUAGGUAAACGAAUUGGGGUUUUAGUAUGAAUUUGGGGAUGGAUGUUUACUAUUCAACACCGAGUGUUAUGGAGAUAGAUAGAUGCCUUUUAAGGUAUUUUAAUAUGCUCAGAUUAUUUUUAGGAAUCAAAAAUUUGGUUAAAUGUUGCUAAAUAUAACCUUGAUUCACAUGAGGGGCUUAAUUGCCUUCUAUAGUUUAUUUCUCCUCCUGUCUUAUAUGAGUUUUGAUUGAAAACAUGUUAGAAUCUACACACAAUUACAUUUGGCAGAGUUGUGAUUUUGUUACUGUUGUUUAUUGUUGUUUUUUUGGUCAUAUGAGUUAGUGAGCAUAUGCAAAUAGAAUAGAGAUAGUCAUAAACACAAAGGUAUGAUUUCCAACUAGACAUCACUACAGGGUUUAAGGGAACAGGAAGUAUGUCAAGAAAGGAUUUGGUUGGGAAAUCGAAAUGACAAGUGAUACGAAAUUGGUACUAGUAAACGUGGAUUCGAGGAGGGUGAAAUUGUUAGUUUAGAUGAAGGAGCUUUUGCAGGAAUAAGCAAGAGAAGAUGCUCAAAUUUCGUACUCAAUCCGGGGCACGAUGGAUUAGAUCUUACUCCAGUGCCCUUGAAGAGCUUGCGGAAUCGAUUCACUGCUAACCUUAAGCAAGCUGCAGACAGCAGUGGAUAAAUUCAGCUUGCUCCGAGAGAUCAUGCCACUUCGAUGGAGAUUCUCGACAGGCGGCUGUUAAAGGUUGCACUUCCAACUGUUGCAAGGCCAAUAAUGUCGCUGGGUGCCAGUGAAGAUGUAGUUUGGCAAUAUAACGUCUCAUUUAUGUUGUUUGUCAUAAUGGCGUUGCCAUGUUGUAUGAAUAGUAAGAGCAGUGCUGUCCCGCGCGGUCACGCAGGACAGCUUAAUAAGCUAGCAGUCUUUGGGGCGUUGGAUUAUAUUGCUUACUGUUCUAUUAUAUUUGUUUUAACUCUUACUUCAUUACAGCUGGCAAAGUUAUAACUAUUAAAAUAGAACCUUGUAUUUUAUUUUUUUAUGUCUUGUUAAUUGUAACUAUUCUCGACCAUUAUCAUU